rfam:Triticum aestivum genome assembly, contig: Triticum_aestivum_CS42_TGACv1_scaffold_331542_4BS
UUUGUACUGCCUCCAUCCUGAAUUACUUGUCGUAGAAAUGGAUGUAUCUAGAACUAAAAUACAUCUAGAUACAUCUAUUUCUGCGACAAGUAACUCCGGACGGAGGGAGUACAAG